CAUGAACUAGUCUGUGUCCAGACUCCACAGACCACCCGGCUUCACUUCAACUAUAAACAUCCCAUUCUUGUCUCUCCACCAGCAAUGAGUUAAUCUCCUUUCAACCAACACCUGUCCAGGAAAAUCAAGGAGCUGGAGAAAGGGGUGUAGCAAAGACCAGAGGAAAUAACAGAAUGUGGUUGAUUGAAAAAGGCAUGAAACCAAACCAAGAACCACACUGCGGGUAAGGAGCACA
rnacentral:lncRNA from 1 species